rnacentral:rRNA from 1 species
UACGUAGGGUGCGAGCGUUAAUCGGAAUUACUGGGCGUAAAGCGUGCGCAGGCGGUUCGUUAUGUCCGUUGUGAAAGCCCCGGGCUCAACCUGGGAAUGGCAAUGGAAACUGGCGGGCUCGAGUGUGGCAGAGGGGGGUGGAAUUCCGCGUGUAGCAGUGAAAUGCGUAGAGAUGCGGAGGAACACCGAUGGCGGAAGGCAGCCCCCUGGGCUAACACUGACGCUCAGGCACGAAAGCGUGGGGAGCAAACAGG